rnacentral:lncRNA from 1 species
CAUAAAUGGCAGCUAGUAACUCAGCUUUAAAAGCAAAACCAAUACCACCCUUAAAGUGGAAGCAACCGUGAACCCAACCGUAGUUAUCACGAAAAACACCACCAGUUGCAAUACUACCCAGCGCACCACUGUGAAAAUAAAUUAAAGUAUACGUAUUAUAAAUAAAUUUAAUGAACUCAAAAUUAAAAAUAAAAAAUAAAAAAUGAAAAAGAAUUGCUAUCAUUGUGAAAAUAAAAAAGUAAAAAUAUCGAAAAUAAAAAAUAAAACACAAAAUGAAAAAGGAAAUGGAAAGAAAAAUCAAAACAAAAAGUAUUGAUGUGCAAUGAAAUAUUAGAGGAAUGUUUUCUAUUCGAAAAAAAAACGUGGCCUUAUAUUUUUGGUCUUAGAUAUGAUUGUGAAUCUGUGAUUAGUGGCCAUGUCCAUAAUUGGCUUUCAAAAUUAUUGAAGUA